AGUGGGGUGGAUUUACAUAAUUUAUGGUGGAAAUAUCACCACCUUUUUUAGAUACUAAAAAUAUUAUUAUUUUCUUAUGAUUUACAAAGAACCUUUUCUUUAAACAAUUAUUGGGUCUUAAAGAAAUUUUCCAAGGACUAGCCCAGACUAGCCAGGCUUACCCUCCCCGUAGUUUCACAUCUGCCUCUAUGAACAAUGGAGAAAACUAUGGUGCAACGGUGGUACCGUGCCACCAUUGCACCCAGCCGUUGGAUUCCAAUAGAUUCAUCUAUCUAAGUGGAUCUAACGGCUGGAUGCUACGGUGGCACGGUACCACCAUUGCACUGUAGCCAGACCCGUAAACAAUAAGUUGAAUAAAAUUUUAGAGUAACUAAAGAAAGUUUUAUUUUUAUUUUAAAAUGUAUCUUAAUUAAUAAAUUGAUUAAAAAAAUUUUAGUGGUCAAUGCUCAGAUUAGAUUUAACCUUUUAUAUAUAUAUAUAUAUAUGGGUAUAUACUUUUUUGGAAUUUCUUUUGGGAUACUAAUUCUAAAUGUUUGAUACAUUUGGAUUUUUUUUUUGGUUAUCCCUUAAAUACACUCAAGAAAUAGUAUCUACUAUCUAAUGAUGAUGUAAAUGAUGUGCUUAUAGAGUGCGUAUGUGUGUGUGUAAUUCAUAAGAAUGAUGUAUUUAAUAGGAAGUCCUAGCAUCAUAGCAUAAAUGAAUAUAUUAGGGCUUCUAAUAUGUACAAAAAGAGUGGGUAUAUGAGAUAAUCAUAAAUUAAUUACAGGAGGAAUAGAUAUGAUUUUUAUUGAUUACUGAUUGAGAGAUGAUUUCCGAUAUUUGUUUGGGAUUGAAACCCAGACUUGUUUACCUAACUUGAAAUCAUGAACCAUAAAUGGAAUGAAAUAUUAAAUUUAUUGAUUAGUUUUAAAUGUUAAAUUGUUGAAGCCUUUCAACCCAUGCAUAGUCCUUGCUACCUAAUUGUAAGGGCAAACCUUCAAGGCAAAAGUGCAUCCGGGCGUUCAAAAUUUAUCCUAAUUUAAACAUAUAUAAAUUUCAAACGCCUCAAGAAUCGACAUAUACUUCCUUCUGUUGAUAUAUAUAUAUUUGAAUGGAGAUCAUGUUGUCAUCAUAUUGAGUAGGGUGACAUGUGUAACUAUUGGUGCGAUGAUUUUUCUAAGUGUUGAUUAGAUAUAGAUAAAAUGUCACUAGCAAAUCAGUAGGCGGCAUGUGUUAAAUAAUUAAAAAUAAUUUUUUUUGAAAUUUAGUUUUUAGCUUUUGUAUUUGUAGUUAUUAUAUGUUAAAUUAAUAGUUGCAUUUAUUGAUUUAUAAAACUUUGAUCUAAUUUAGGGUGUGUUUCAAACGCCUCAAGAAUGGACAUAUACUUCCUUAUGUUGAUAUAUAUAUACACACACACAUAUACAUAUACACAGUAUAACCUCUAUAAAUUAAUAAUGUCGGGACCAUAGAAAUUUGUUAAUUUAGAGAGAUAUUAAUUAAUUGAUAAAUUAAUAAUUUAUUAAUUUAUAGAGUGUGUUCACAGGAUAUAUGACUUAUCUAAAUUAUGUAAAUACAUGAAUACUCUUUUAGAUGCAAUAAGAAAAAUUAGAGAUGAGAUUCAACUAAAUUUAAACUUCAAGAAAAAACAAGUUACAAUAGACUCAUAUUUUAAUAAAUUGACAUAGUAAGUUACAUUUGUAAUUUCACAGUAUUUGUAAUUUCUAUAAUUAUUAAUU
rnacentral:lncRNA from 1 species